UAGGUCGACCCGCUGAAUUUAAGCAUAUCACUAAGCGGAGGAAAAGAAACUAACCAGGAUUCCCCCAGUAACGGCGAGUGAACGGGGAUUAGCCCAGCACCGAAGCCUGUGACCAAUUGGUUACUAGGCAAUGUGGUGUUUAGGUCGUCUCUUGGCUUUACUGUUCCACUCUAAGUCCAGCAAUGAGUGCGGCUUACCGUAAUGGCCCACAGAGGGUGAAAGGCCCGUGGGGGUGGAGAUCAGACUGACAGUUUAGCCCUGAGUAGACCUUGGAGUCGGGUUGUUUGUGAAUGCAGCCCAAAUUGGGUGGUAAACUCCAUCUAAGGCUAAAUACCUGCACGAGUCCGAUAGCGAACAAGUACCGUGAGGGAAAGUUGAAAAGUACUUUGAAGAGAGAGUAAACAGUGCGUGAAACCGCUCAAAGGUAAACAGGUGGAGUUGAACUGUAAGCCUUGGGAAUUCAACUGACGUGUUUGGCAUGAGCUUGGGCAUAAUUGGCCGGCUUUCGGAGUCUGCUUAGCUGCGGGUCCAUGUCCUUUGGGUGUGGAUGUGCGAUGCACUUAUCAAGUGUUGUGCGCUCCGUUAGUUGUUGGCCUGCUCGUCAGUGCACUUUCCCUUGGUGUUCACCACGACCGACGCUGCUGCCUGUCGACUUUGGUCAAACCGGCCUUAUUCGAUCCUCGUGGUCGAAUUUGAUCGGGACGGCAGGUAACCUAUUGAUCAUGUUCCCGGCUUCUGUCGGAUUUGUGGUCUUUGAGGUGUAAUUAGCUGGUCAUUGUUGAUCUGUGCAGUGCGUCGGAGAUGACGGCUUAGUGUGUGCAUUCGUGCUUGUCAUCUGGUGUUGUCGGGUUUGAUUUGUUUGUUUACUUGCUCCAGUGAGUCAGCAGGUAGCUCGGCAUCGUUCAGUUGACAGUUGCGUGUGUGACACUUUAUUGGGCCUAAAGUCAGUGGUGUUGCGGUAGACUAUCCACCUGACCCGUCUUGAAACACGGACCAAGGAGUUUAACAUGUGCGCGAGUCAUUGGGUGGUACGAAACCCAAAGGCGUAGUGAAAGUAAAGGUCUGGCUUGUCCGGACUGAGGUGAGAUCCUGUCGUUUCACGUGCCUGGUACCACCAAGCGUUUGAGCGAUAGGCGCAUCACCAGCCCGUCUCAUGGUGUGGUCAUACAUAGUAUUCAUUGUAUGCGCCACCGGGGCGGAGCCUGAGCGUACAUGCUGAGACCCGAAAGAUGGUGAACUAUGCUUGCGCAGGUUGAAGCCAGAGGAAACUCUGGUGGAGGACCGUAGCGAUUCUGACGUGCAAAUCGAUCGUCUAACGUGAGUAUAGGGGCGAAAGACUAAUCGAACCAUCUAGUAGCUGGUUCCCUCCGAAGUUUCCCUCAGGAUAGCA
rnacentral:rRNA from 1 species